AGCGGCGAACGGGUGAGAAACGCGUAGGUAAUCUACCUUGUAGCGGGGGAUAACCAAGGGAAACUUUGGCUAAUACCGCAUAAGUACCUCAAACUUAUGUUUGAUGUAGAAAGAGGGCUCUCGCAAGAGGCUCUCACUAUAAGAUGAGCCUGCGUCCGAUUAGCUAGUUGGUGAGGUAAUGGCUCACCAAGGCAACGAUCGGUAGCUGGUCUGAGAGGACGACCAGCCACACUGGAACUGACACACGGUCCAGACUCCUACGGGAGGCAGCAGUGGGGAAUAUUGCGCAAUGGAGGAAACUCUGACGCAGCGACGCCGCGUGGGUGAUGAAGGCCUUCGGGUUGUAAAGCCCUGUCGGCUGGGAAAAAGGUAGUCGUGCUAACACCACGAUUGCUUGAUGGUACCAGCAAAGGAAGCACCGGCUAACUCUGUGCCAGCAGCCGCGGUAAUACAGAGGGUGCAAGCGUUGUUCGGAAUUACUGGGCGUAAAGGGCGCGUAGGCGGUUUGGUAAGUCAGAUGUGAAAUCCCGGGGCUUAACUCCGGAAGUGCAUUUGAAACUACCAGGCUAGAGUGUGGUAGAGGAUGGCGGAAUUCCCAGUGGAGAGGUGAAAUUCGUAGAUAUUGGGAGGAACACCGGUGGCGAAGGCGGCCAUCUGGGCCAUAACUGACGCUGAGGCGCGAGAGCGUGGGUAGCAAACA
rnacentral:rRNA from 1 species